GACGAACGCUGGCGGCGUGCCUAGUACAUGCAAGUUGAGCGAUGAAGAUUGGUGCUUGCACCAAUUUGAAGAGCAGCGAACGGGUGAGUAACGCGUGGGGAAUCUGCCUUUGAGCGGGGGACAACAUUUGGAAACGAAUGCUAAUACCGCAUAAUAACUUUAAACAUAAGUUUUAAGUUUGAAAGAUGCAAUUGCAUCACUCAAAGAUGAUCCCGCGUUGUAUUAGCUAGUUGGUGAGGUAAAGGCUCACCAAGGCGAUGAUACAUAGCCGACCUGAGAGGGUGAUCGGCCACAUUGGGACUGAGACACGGCCCAAACUCCUACGGGAGGCAGCAGUAGGGAAUCUUCGGCAAUGGACGAAAGUCUGACCGAGCAACGCCGCGUGAGUGAAGAAGGUUUUCGGAUCGUAAAACUCUGUUGGUAGAGAAGAACGUUGGUGAGAGUGGAAAGCUCAUCAAGUGACGGUAACUACCCAGAAAGGGACGGCUAACUACGUG
rnacentral:rRNA from 1 species